UAAGAGAGCAGGGGAGGAGACAAAGGUGAAGGAGACGGUGGGAGCAGUGAUACUUACCAAGCUGUUGAGUUCGGCACCCAGAGUACUUCUGAACCCAUUUCAGUUUUGGAAACUUGCUUCAAGUGCACGCGGACAGAGAAGCCCUGUUUGCAGAACAAAUGGAAGGCUCAGGAGUCUAUAGAUCAUCAUUCUCACAAGGAGAUCUUAGUUCUGUGACCAGAGACUGAGUCCACAUCCCCUGCAGUGGAAGCAUGAUGUCUUUACCUCAGGAUCACCAGGAAAAUCCCAGAAAUCAUUUGGCUGUGGUGUGGGAAAUGGACCCUUGGAAGGUGAGAAUGGAAACAGAGCUCACCAGAAGGCACCUGGUUUAGAUGGUGACUGCAGCCAUGAAAUUAAAUGAUGCUUGCUCCUUGGAAGAGAAGCAUGACCAACCUAGACAGCAUAUUAAAAAGCAGAGACACUACUUUGCUGACAAAGGUCUGUCUAGUAAACGUGAUGGUUUUUCCAGUAUUCAUGUAUGGAUGUGACAGUUGGACUAUAAAGAAAGCUGAGUGCCGAAGAAUAGAUGCUUUUGAGCUGUGGUGUUGGAGAAGACUCUUGAGAGUCGCUUGGACUGCAAGGAGAUCAAACCAAUCAAUCCUCAAGGAAAUCAGUCCUGAAUAUUCAUUGGAAGGACUGAAGCUGAAGUUCCAAUACUUUGGCCACCUGAUGCAAAGAACUGGCUCAUUGGAAAAGACCCUGAUCCUGGGAAAGAUUGAAGGCAGGGGGAGGAGGGGAUGACAGAGGAGGAGAUGGUUGGAUGGUAUCACCAACUUGAUGGACAUGAGUCUGGGUAAUCUCUGGCAGUUGGUGAUGGACAGGGAGGCCUGGCAUGUUGUAGUUCAUGGGGUCAUAAAGAGUUGGACUCGACUGAGUGAACUGAACUGAACUGAACUGAACCACUUAUCAUAUACAUAAUUUGCAAGUAUUUUCCCCCAUUUUAUAGGUUGGCGUUUUAUGCUUUGUCAUUUGCACAAAGUUUUCAGUUUUGUUUUUACUUUUUUCAUAUCACACCCAGGAGCUUCUUGCCAAAUUCAGUGUCAUAAAGCUUUCCCCCUAUGUUUCUUCUAAGAGUUUUAAAGUUUUAGGCUUUACUUUUAGGCCUUUGAUCCAUUUUGAGUAAAUUUUUAUAUAUGGUAUAAAGCAAGGGUUUAACUUCAUU
ensembl:lncRNA